rnacentral:lncRNA from 1 species
GGGCCAUAUUGCAGGCUGAACAUUCAUGUUCCCCUGGUGCGCCUCUACUUUGAUGACGGUGACCUAAGGAAGGACUUCCGCCUUUCCAGGCCUACGCUGGAUAGCCUGGUCCACCGUCUCCAGGGGGCGGUCGACCACGGGUGGGGGAAGGCCUUGAGGUGCUGGUGUUCCUGUUCUGAGGCCUUCGACAUUCCCCGCACGACAUGCCACGAUGUGGUCCACAGGGAUAUGUUGGGCAGGAAAAAGGGGAGCGCAAGAAGCAAUCUAUUCUGAAGCUGAAGAUCCGGGAUACUGCAAUCACUUUAUCGGGAUACUGCAAUCACUUUAUCGUUUUUGCAAAUCUUUAAAACCUAUGCCAUUUUCAAUUGUGAAUGAAGCAACUACCAUGGACAUGUCAGUUACAAACUUAACUUCUUGACACUAUAUCUGCACAUUUUUGCUUGUUGCAGAUGUCCCUCUUGCCUGUCCUCCAGCCCCUGCACGUCGAGAGGAGCAGACACCCGUUUGUGCCCAGAGGACAUUACUCACAUGUUGGACUUUUGAGAAUACUUUGCAAAAUCUCAUGACACUGUUAUUGUUGUAAAUAUAUAUAUAGUUAUAUGUCCUUAAGAUGUUUGUGUUAAUGUUUGUGUUGUUUCUGCAUACAAGGUUGACCUGUACUUAGUUAGUUUAGAUUGAAUAUGCAUGUUAAGUAUUACCUUAGUUUGUUUUACUAGUCACUUUUGUUGUACAUAGUAACUUUAAAUUGUUACCCUUUUUUCACAUUUGUAUAUAGUCACUGUUAGUACCUGGAAGCAGUAGGAGUGAGCUGCCUUUUCUUUUGACUUGUUUCUCAUGUUUUUUCAUAGUUUAGGAUGUUAGUUUUAGUGAUGGUCUUUUUUAGUAUUUACUUUGACAUAGGGUUUAGGUAGCUUGAACUUCCCUUUAAAAUCUAGUUUGUUUUGUUCAAUUAUUUUGGCCUUUGUUCGCUCCGAAGAGAAGCUUCAUUUUCAGUUUGGUGUAUUGUUUGUGUGCUAAGCAGCAAUAAACUGCUUGUCAUUUUGACUACGCGUGUGUGGACUCCUAUAUAUGUUAGGCAAAUAAUGCACAAAAAACAUGAGAAGCAUUGUGAUUUUUCUGUUGGAUAUGUGUAUAUAUGCCCAAAUACACACACACAGAAGAGUGAAAAAUAGCUUAAAAGUAUAGAUAUGUAAGAUAAGAUAAUCUUAUCUUAUAUAUAU